rnacentral:rRNA from 1 species
UACAGAGGUCUCAAGCGUUGUUCGGAUUCAUUGGGCGUAAAGGGUGCGUAGGCGGCGCGGUAAGUCGGGUGUGAAAUCUCGGAGCUUAACUCCGAAACUGCAUUCGAUACUGCCAUGCUUGAGGACUGGAGAGGAGACUGGAAUUUAACGGUGUAGCGGUGAAAUGCGUAGAUAUCGUAAGGAAGACCAGUGGCGAAGGCGGGUCUCUGGACG